UUUACACUUGAGAACAAUGAAGCCUAGAGAGAGCAAGAAACUUACCCAAAACUACACUGGCAGCUGCCAAAGAGCUAGGCUCAUGCAUUACACCCCAAUGGAAUGUUUUUUAUAAGUUUAGAGAGAAUGAAAGCUAUUCUACCUGCUUGUCUGUCUUGCUAUCAGCCCCGUGCAAUCUUCGGUUUCCUUCCCUUGUUUGAAGUCGAGUGCCAUGUCAGACUUGCUCUUGACCAUAAUAACCGUUGACAACAGGGGUAUGAUCUAACCUUAACUUCUUCUAUAACUUAAACUCCUUGGGGACAGUAAUCACCUUGUAUCAAUCAGAGUCAAAGCAAACAAGAGCCACUCUAGGUAUUCCAAACAGAAGAAAUUUAACAUAGAGAACCAGUUAUACAGGUGAUGGAAGAGCUGAAGCCAAACAAGGGAGGGCAAGGCCACCCAGAGAUUAAUAACCGCAGGAAGUUGCCACCACCCCUAGAGCUGGAGGGACACAGGGAGAAGGUUAUGUUACCAAAACCCAGAAACUGGGGCAGGAGCUGGAACCAUGAUGGGGGUUACUUAUCAAGUGCUGGUACCACAGUGGUAGGGGCUGGCUGAUGGACUCUGGAAUCAAAGACUUGUAGCUGCUGCUGGGAUGCCAAUGAAAGCAUAGAGAAAAGAAACAUUCUAAUAAUGGAAAAAGAUAUAACACCCAAAAAGUAGUAGUAUGUAUAUUAGAUAUGUCAUUCAAAAAUGCUAGACUAAUAUCAAACAAAAUAGACUUUCAGACAAAAUUUGUUUAUAAAGACAAAGAAGGACAUUUUAUAAUGAUAAAUGGGUCAAUCCAGGCUGGGUGUGGUGGCUCAUGCCUGUAAUCUCAGCAUUUUUGGAAGCUGAGGCAGGAGGAUCAUUUGAAGCCAGGAGUUUGAGACCAGCCUGGACAACAUAGCAAGACCUCAUCUCUACAAAAAAAAAAUUGUUUAAAUAAAUUAGCCAACCAUGGUGUCAUGCACCUGUAGUCCCAGCUACUCGGGAGGCUGAGGUAGGAGGGCUGCAUGAGGCCAGGCGUUUGGGGUUGCAGUAAAGUAUGAUUGUGCCACUGCACUCCAGCCUGUGUGACAGAACAAGACCCUGUCUCUAAGAAAAAGGAUGAAAAUUUUUCAAAAAGAGUCAAAAACUUUUCACUUUAAGAAAAAGAAUAGUGAACCAAGCCCAAAUCAAGCAGAAGGAAGGAAAUAAUAAAGAUUAGAAUGGAAAAAAAUGAAAUAUGGAAUUGGAAAAACUAGAGAAAAAUUAACAAACCCAAAAGUUGUUAUAUCAAAAAGAUUGAUAAGUUUGAUAAACAUUUAACUAGACUUACCCUAAUAUCAAAACCACAUACAGAUAUCACAAGAAAAGUACAGACCAAUAUCUCUCAUAAGACACAUAUAAGAUAGAUGCACAAUUUCUUAACAAAAUAUUAACAUGCCAAAUCCAGAAACAUUACAAAAAAAAUUGUAUACCAUGACCAAGUGAUUUAUUCCAGGAAUUCAAAAUUCAUAUAAUACACCAUAUUUAAUAGAAUAAAGGGCAAAAACACUCAAUUGUCUCAGUGGACACAGGAAAGGCCUCCAACUCCCUCCAUGUCCCUCCAAAGGACAUUAUCUCAUUCCUUUUUAUGGCUGCAUAAUAUUCCAUGAUGUAUAUGUAGCACAUUUUCUUUAACCAAUCUAUCAUUGAUGGGCAUUUAGGUUGAUACCAUGUCUUUACUAUUGUGAAUGGUGCUGCAAUAAACAUACACGUGCAUGUGUCUUUAUAAUAGAACAAUUUAUAUUCCUUUGGGUAUAUACCCAGGAAUGGGAUUGCUGGGUCAAAUGG
rnacentral:lncRNA from 10 species